AAGUGUUUGGUCUGAAUGGUUCAAAGCACAGCUCAAAGACGUACAACACAAGUUAAUAAUAAAACAACAAUUACCUCGCUUAUGGACAGCAGCUGGCUGGAAAAAAUCAAAGUUAGACAGGAGACGGAGCAAGCUUCACAUAUACUCGAACGUUAUCAUCCACAGAGGUGUUUUUCAGGUCUGGAUUGCCGUGUUAUCUCUCCAGUUCCAUUGCCUUCAACAGAAGUGUGUGAAGGAUAGCGCACCCAAGACUUCAAUUAUGUGGCAACUUCAUUCACGACUUCAUAUGUAAAUUGACAGCCCAUAUCAAACCAAAACUUCAAUAAUAAAAGCCUGCGGAAUCUAAAAGGUCAUACGUCCUAUUCAGCUCCGGUGCCAUUCCACAGAUUGUGGUCCUUGGUUCCGUCGUCCUCAUCGGCUCAGCAACGGCGGCAGCAGCGCAGCAGCUGCGCAUGGCGUACUAGGACAUGCCGGGCGCUAAGAAGGCUGCCGGCAAGGCGUACUCAAGCUGCGACCCAUUCAAGCUGGAGCCCUGGAUCUCCGACCGCAUCAUGCUCCUCGUGGAGAACUCGCUGGCCGGCAGCAUCCACCGCAACUACGGUCUGCUGCUCCGGCACUAGCUCCACAUCGUCUGCAAGGUUGACCCACACCCACACGCUACCACAGCAAUCUUGAGAGAGAGCUCACCGGCGGCAGUCAUGGAUCUGGUGACGGGGGCGAUGGGCAACCUCGCCCCAAAGCUGUACCAGCUGCUCCAAGGUGAAUACGAGCUGCAGAAGGGUGUGAGGAAGAAACUCGUGUUCCUCCAUCAGGAGCUGGAGGGCAUCAAGCCUGCCCUUGACAAGGUGGCACAAGUGCCGUGGGAUCGGCAUCACGAGCAGGUCAAGGUCUGGGCGCGUCAGAUGAGGGAGGCAUCCUACGACAUAGAAGAUCUGCUCGACACCUUCCUUGUGCGUGUCCAGGGUUCUGAGCCUGUCGACCAGAGCAGGCUCAAACGCACCCUGAAGAAGAUGGGUGGCCUGCUCGGCAAAGCCAAGGCUCGCCGUGACAUUUCUGGUGCCAUCGAAGACAUCAAGAAGCAACUCCAGGAGGUGGCUGACCGGCGCGACAGGUGCAAAAUCGACGAGAUUGUGGCCAAACCUGCUGACACUUUGGCAAUUGAUCCUCGUCUUGAGGCUAUGUACAAAGAGGUGACUCAGCUCAUUGGUAUUGAUAAGUCAAGAGGUGAGCUCCUAUCAAUGCUUUCGUCGCCCCAGGGGAAUGAGGUGUCCCAUGAGAAGAUGAAGAUAGUUUCAGUUGUCGGAGUUGGAGGAUUGGGCAAGACAACUCUUGCCAAAGCAGUGUAUGAUGAGCUUAAAUCGCAAUUUGAUUGUGGGGCUUUUGUUCCGAUUGGUCGAAAUCCUGACAUGAAGAAAGUCCUAAGAGACAUUCUUAUAGAUCUUGACAAGAAAGAAUUCAGGGAGCCGAAAUAUGAUAUAUUGGACGUAAGGCAGCUCAUCAACGAACUCAAAGAUUUCCUCCAAAGCAAGAGAACAGAGUGAUGAAGCAAUUAACCCAGCAGGAAGAUGAUACGGGCAUGGCAAGAGUGAGGUCAUUGGUUGCCUGUAGGUGUGAUAUUGGAAGUUGGGUCUUGCAUCCAAGCUUUAAACUCUUGCGUGUGCUAGCUUUAGAGGACUGCAACUGUGAAAAAGGCUGGCAGGGUCUUAAGCACCUUGGAGAUCUACUUCAUUUGAGGUACCUUGGGCUACAUGGUACAAAUGGUAUUUAUGAGCUCCCGGAAGAAAUAGGAAAGCUCAAGUUUCUACAGAUACUUGACUUGGCCUAUUCUGGCAUAAGGGUACUGCCAUUUGGCAUUUGCCAGUUAACGCAGCUGAUCUGCCUACGUGGUGGCGUCAAUACGUGCGCGCCGGAUGGGUUGCUGAAGAAGCUGACGUCAUUGGAGGAGCUGCAUAUACAUAUCGUCAACCUGAAUCACGAGUCCAAGGGGCAAUUUGUGAAGGCCCUCGGCAACCUGAGCGAACUCAGAGUGCUUCGCAUUUAUGGUUUGGAAGGGACGGUGCAGUCGGAUCUAGCGCAGUCGCUAGGGAAUCUCCACAAGCUCCAGCAUCUAUCUGUCACAUUGGCGGAGUGGGACAGGGUGGUGCUCCGUCGGCAUCUCCAAAGUUUGAUGGUAAACACUGUAGUGCUCCGUCGGCUGCCAUCAUGUAUUAACCCUGCACGUCUCCCCAGCCUAUGCUGCUUGAACUUAUGUGUGGAUAAUAUAGACGAGGCCGGUCUGCGAGCCGUGGGCGGGUUGCCACAGCUCCGUGGGCUCGAUCUGUUAACGUUGUCGUCGUCCGGUUCCACAGCAACUGUUGUUAUUGCUGGCGAUGGCUUCUUCCAGAAGUUGCGACGUUGCAGAUUCUUGGGCUGGAUGGUGCAGUUUGUGGUCAACGAGGACUCGGCUUCUGUUUCAUUUAGCCUCUGCAAGGGAAAGCAGCAGGGUGCUCUGGCGGCCUUUGGUUCCAGCACAGAGGACGAGUCCUCCAGCAGAUCAGUCCCACCAACCGUGAUGCCAAAUCUCCAAGACCUCGAGUUUCAUGUUCCCGUCAGGGCCCUAUACAAGGAUGGGAACGGUAGCUGCCACAGCCUGAGGUUGCACUGCCUCCCUUCGCUUCGCAGAGUCUCAGUAUAUGUCGACUGUGAGGGUGCUUCUCCUGAUGAGGUGGAGAAAGCAGAGGCUGAGCUGAGGCACGAAGCACAACUCCAUCCCAACAGCCCCAUACUUGAUCUCCAAAAACUGAAUGAAUAUGAAAUGAUACGACACUCAACGGGUCAAAUCGGCGAUAAGUCCAAGGAUGGUGAUGAUUUGUGUGAGGAGGAAGAGGAAGAGGAAGGUGAGGUCUCAUCUGCUGGCGAUGAGGUCGUUGCCACGGAGUUAGGAGCCGAUCCCACCAGCGCUUGAAUCGGUUGGACGCAAGUCAUCCUUAUUUCCUUCCCGUAGCAUAAAUCUUGGCUUCUGGCAAUUGCUAUGAUGUAUGAUGGUGUAUCUUUGUUAAUCCUUUUUCCGGUAUUGAAUACACUUGGAGCAUGAAUUACCUUCUGAACCUUCUAUCACUUGAGUUUCUUUAUAACAUUUCAUUGCUGGUAGCAUUUGGUGCAGAAAAACUGACAAUUCUGUUUGGUCUACAGGUUAUGGUUAAAAAGGGCCCAUCUUCCCCUCCUUUGUUUGUUCUUGCGUCCCCUCCUCCCUUACUCUGGUGACUAUGUACGACUUAUUUGUUGCUGCCGAUGCCAAUUGUGUGAUAUACAUCUGAGAAAGAGUUUUUUUACUAAGCACUUGUGCAUGCCAAUAUACAUCUGAGAACAAAUUUUUUUACUGAGCACUUGUCCAUGCCGAUGAUAAUAGUUUUCAUUCUGCCUAAGCACUUGUUCAAUGCCAAUGAUGAUUUUUCUUAUUUCAUUCUAUAAUUUUGCCGAGGCAUUGGACAUUUUCAAUGAUGUUUUUUGGAUGCUACACUUGAGAUGAGGCAUUGGACAUGUGCAGUGAUGGCAAAUUUUUUUUCAUACUAAACAUGAGCCGAGGCAUUGGACAUGUGCAAUGAUGGUUAAUAUUUCUCAUACUAAACUUGAGCUGAGAGAAAAAAUUUCUCAACUUGAAUAUGUAAACUAUGCUACUAAUGUUUUUUCUUCUUAUUUGACAAAAUACAGUGGUUGAUACAAUAUCAGCUCUACCGAUGUCCUUGAUAUUCUUUCAGCUCAUUGAUGAACUGUGGAGAUUCUUGCUUCGACAGCUGUGGUAAGUAUCUGACCAAACAUCUUGAUUUAUACAUUUAGUAUAUGACCUCAUUAUAUAUGUAUUGGAUGCUCUAUCACUUGUAAUUGCAGUAAGCUCAUGAUGUGCAUGUCAUUUGUUGUCAAUGUUGGUGCUCCCUAACUACUUACUGUAUUGAUAUAUUUAUGAGAGCUGAUUAUUUUUAUGAUAUAUCAUAUAUGCCAUGUAGAAAGCAUUGACCUGAGUUUUGUUGAUACUCUGUUUUACUGCUUCGGAGCCAGAACAAGAACAAGAAUCCGAGCCAGAACCUGAACUAUUAUGUGCGGCCACACAUACAGAUGAGUAAAAAUAUUGAGACUAUCUGCAUUCUACUGCUUGUCUGAUAAAAAAGACAGUAACCUAUUCAUUCUAAUGUAUAUGAGAAUGGCCUGUUUUUUUACUGUUUUCAGCUUGGACUUACAGAUUUAAAACUUAUUUACUUUGAUGCUUUUCUUGAUUAUAUUAUGUUGCUCUUCUGGGUACUGAACAGAUGCUCUUGGUUGAUUUAUUUUACUGUUGGUUAACUCCCAGUUUGAGUAAUAUACUUGCUUUCUGCAGGUCACAUGCUUCAAUCUCAGUUCAUUAGGAAGUGAAGGGCCACAUUUCGUCUAUGCUACUUUGGCAAUUGAUCCUCAUCUUGAGGCUAUGUAGAAAGAGGUGAACCAGCUCAUUGGUAUUGAUAAUUCAAGGGGUGGGGACAUAUCAAUGGUCUCAUCGCCCUAGUGGGACGAGGUGCCCCACGAGAUGAUGAAGAUUGUAUCAGUUGUUGGAGGGGGAUUGUGCAAGACUACUCUUGCCAAGUAGUGUAUGAUGAGCUUAAACCUCAACUCGAUUGUGGGGCCUCUGUUUUGGUUGGCCGAAAUCCUGGUUUGAAAAAAGUUUUUAUGGAUAUUCUUUUAGAUCUUCACCAGGGCGACAAUAAACCUGUUGACGCUCGUUAAUGACACAUUUUUAGUGUUGUUUUGGUGUGGUUUUCAUACUCAUUCUUAUACUAACCCGCCACUUGGCACUUGAAAUAA